rnacentral:lncRNA from 1 species
AAGUAUUCGCUAGGCGAGCAUCCAGCGAGCAGGUAGCGAACAAUUCCAGUAGCAAAAACAUCAAGACUCGCUGGAGCAAAUGAGAGAAGCGAGGGCUUCGCCUAGCGAAGGAUUGUUCGCCUAGCGAACAGAUGCAAACUGGUCUGGGAUGAUUCCUCUGGACGCAGGCUCUUCUGGUGACUUAUUUUGGGGCUCGCUAGG